CAGUCGCCGCGGGAAUACGAAGGAUGCAAGCGUUAAUCGGAAUUACUGGGCGUAAAGCGUGCGUAGGCGGUGAGUUAAGUCUGCUGUGAAAUCCCCGGGCUCAACCUGGGAAUGGCAGUGGAUACUGGCUCGCUAGAGUGUGUCAGAGGAUGGUGGAAUUCCCGGUGUAGCGGUGAAAUGCGUAGAGAUCGGGAGGAACAUCAGUGGCGAAGGCGGCCAUCUGGGACAACACUGACGCUGAGGCACGAAAGCGUGGGGAGCAAACAGGAUUAGAUACCCCCGUAGUCCCUGUCUCUUAUAC
rnacentral:rRNA from 1 species